rnacentral:rRNA from 1 species
AUAACAAUAAGCUAACUCGGCUGGUGGGCCUCCCCUAAGGUCGGGGAGUCCCCGCCCAUGAGCGCUUUAACGGGUGUGUUGCGGCCACUAGAGUGUUGGCCGUCUCGCCGGGUCUCGGAAAGCACGGGGAGAAUCCGCGUGCUUACGUGGGGUGUGCCGAAUACGGACCCGGGAUGGCGUGCCGGCAAGUGCCCUUCGGGAGGCACAAGCUCUUGUGAAGAUGGGCAUUCGCCCUUUACGCAGCACAUGACUGAAUCCUUAUUCUACUCGUACCUCUUGUUCUCCUUCGGUGGGGCAACCUGCCGUUGGAACCUUUAUACAACCCUUUUUUUUGCAUCUAGCAUUACCUGUUCUGAUACAAAUAAUCGUUACAACUUUCAACAAUGGAUCUCUUGGCUCUGGCAUCGAUGAAGAACGCAGCGAAAUGCGAUAAGUAGUGUGAAUUGCAGAAUUCAGUGAAUCAUCGAAUCUUUGAACGCACAUUGCGCCCCUUGGUAUUCCAUGGGGCAUGCCUGUUCGAGCGUCAUCUACACCCUCAAGCUCUGCUUGGUGUUGGGCGUCUGUCCCGCCUCGGCGCGCGGACUCGCCCCAAAUCCAUUGGCAGCGGUCUCCGCCUCCUCUCGCGCAGCACAUUGCGCUUCUCGAGGUGCUGCGGCCCGCGUCCAGUAAGCAAUUUACCGUCUUUGACCUCGGAUCAGGUAGGGAUACCCGCUGAACUUAAGCAUAUCAAUAAGCGGAGGAAAAGAAAGCAACAGCGAUAGCCCUAGUAACGGCGAGUGAAGCGGCUACAGCUCAAAUUUGAAAUCUGGCCCUCUUUGGGGGUCCGAGUUGUAAUUUGUAGAGGAUGCUUUGGCAUUGGCGGCGGUCUAAGUUCCCUGGAACAGGACAUCGCAGAGGGUGAGAAUCCCGUACGUGGGCGCCUGCCUUUGCCGUGUAAAGCUCCUUCGACGAGUCGAGUUGUUUGGGAAUGCAGCUCUAAAUGGGAGGUAAAUUUCUCCUAAAGCUAAAUACCGGCCAGAGACCGAUAGCGCACAAGUAGAGUGAUCGAAAGAUGAAAAGUACUUUGGAAAGAGAGUCAAAUAGCACGUGAAAUUGUUGAAAGGGAAGCGCUUGCAGCCAGACUUGCCCGCAGUUGCUCACCCAGGCUCUCGCCUGGGGCACUCUUCUGCGGGCAGGCCAGCAUCAGUUUGGGCGGUCGGACAAAGGCCUCUGUCAUGUACCACCCUUCGGGGUGGCCUUAUAGGGGAGGCGUAAUGCGACCAGCCCGGACUGAGGUCCGCGCA